rnacentral:lncRNA from 1 species
AUGAUGGAUGUGCACAAAUGGAACUCCUCUAGUUCCACCUGGGAAUUAGUUCUUAUCUAUAAUGGAAAGUCUCAUUCUGGGAAACGCACCUUCAGAGAUCAGCUCACUGUAUCCCAGGAGCAGUUCACAGUGAUGAACACGAGCAGAGAGUUACAAGGAGUUUAUAUGGUUACCUUAUUCCUGUCUGAGAAAUGUGUGGCUCUCAUCAACCUGACAGUGAGGGAUCCAGCUUUAUGGGCUCUAUUCCCCAUUCUGAUUAUUGCUGCAAUAGUCAUUUACUUGGCUGUAAAAAGAUUUUGUCCAAGAAGAGAUGGAUCAAGAGCCAUUCAAUGACAGACCUGUGGGUGGCUAUAUUACAACAGAAAAACUUCAAAAACAGACUCCAACCAGAGACUGCUGAGCUGGAAUUGAUAUGCAAACUAGACACAAUCAACUCAGGAUUGAAUAAGGACUGGGAAUGGCUGAGCCAUUACAAACAUUGAAUCUAUCUCCCCUUGUAAGUAUUCUCACAUGUCUUAUCAAACUGUCUGUACUGGGCUAGCUUGAUUAUCACUUCAAAAGUUUUUUUCCUCUUACUUAAUUGGCCUCUCAGAGUUGGUAAGACAACUCCCACCUGUUCAUGCUCUGUGUAUGUGUGUAUAUAUAUCUCCUCAAUAUAUGUUCCACUCUAUAUGCAUCUGAAGAAGUGGGCUGUAGCGCACGAAAGCUUAUGCUCUAAUAAAUGUGUUACCGGUAGUCUCUAAGGUGCCA